rnacentral:rRNA from 1 species
GGGAGGUAGUGACAAUAAAUACCUUACAGAGGUCUCGUUAACCGAGAUCUCUCAAACGGAAUGAGUACAACGUGAAUCCUUUAACGAGGAUCGACUGGAGGGCAAGCCUGGUGCCAGCAGCCGCGGUAAUUCCAGCUCCAGUAGCGUAUAUUAAAGCUGUUGCGGUUAAAAAGCUCGUAGUUGGAUAUCAGUGCGUGUCCGGUCCGGUAUGCCCGGCGGCGGCGCUCGCGCGUCACUGCUGGGCUCCCAAAUAUCGGCUGGCCGCAUUCAAUCGUGCCGGAUCCGUCGACGGGCCGUUCUUCGGAGGGGCCUGUUGGCGACCGGCGACGUUACCUUGAACAAAUUAGAGUGCUCAAAGCAGGCUCUGAAUGCCUGUAUACAUAUUCAUGGAAUUGGAGAAUACGUCCCUGGCUCGAUUUGGUUGGUUUUGAGAGUCGAAGGGAAAUGAUUAAUAGGGACUGACGGAGGCAUUCGUAUUGCGACGCGAGGGGUGAAAUCCUGUGACCGUCGCACGACGAACUACUGCGAAAGCAUUUGCCGAGAAUGUUUUCAUUAGUCAAGAACGAAAGUUAGAGGUUCGAAGGCGAUCAGAUACCGCCCUAGUUCUAACCGUAAACGAUGUCGACCAGCAAUCCGCAACGGUCACUACACGGACUGUGCGGGCAGCUUCCCCGGGGAAACCAGAGUGUAUGGACUCCGGGGGAAGUAUGGUUGCAAAGCUGAAACUUAAAGGAAUUGACGGAAGGGCACCACCAGGAGUGGAGCUUGCGGCUUAAUUUGACUCAACACGGGACAACUCACCAGGCCCGGACACCGUAAGGAUUGACAGACUGAUAGCUCUCUCUUGAUUCAGUGGGUGGUGGUGCAUGGCCGUUCUUAGUUGGUGGAGUGAUUUGUCUGGUUUAUUCCGAUAACGAACGAGACUCUGGCCUAUUAAACUUGACGCCG